UGUGUCAGACAUUUCUCUCCAGGUGGAGAGUGACCCUCUUCUUCAUCAACUCUUCUUCAUCAACUCUUCUUCAUCACCUCUUUGGACUGUUUGAAGAAACUCUCUGCUUGUAGUUCCUGAUGAUGUCACCAGAGGGCGCCAUGACAUCACUCACCAGCUCAGAGAUGAAGACAAACUGGGGACUUUGGAGACAAAGGUUUCAGUCGACACACACGAUAAG